AACGAACGCUGGCGGCAGGCUUAACACAUGCAAGUCGAGCGCCCCGCCAGGGGAGCGGCAGACGGGUGAGUAACGCGUGGGAACGUACCUUUUGGUUCGGAACAACUCCGGGAAACUGGAGCUAAUACCGGAUAAGCCCUAACGGGGAAAGAUUUAUCGCCGAAAGAUCGGCCCGCGUCUGAUUAGCUAGUUGGUGAGGUAACGGCUCACCAAGGCGACGAUCAGUAGCUGGUCUGAGAGGAUGAUCAGCCACACUGGGACUGAGACACGGCCCAGACUCCUACGGGAGGCAGCAGUGGGGAAUAUUGGACAAUGGGCGCAAGCCUGAUCCAGCCAUGCCGCGUGAGUGAUGAAGGCCUUAGGGUUGUAAAGCUCUUUUGUCCGGGAAGAUAAUGACUGUUCCGGAAGAAUAAGCCCCGGCUAACUUCGUG
rnacentral:rRNA from 1 species